rnacentral:rRNA from 1 species
GACGAACGCUGGCGGCGUGCUUAACACAUGCAAGUCGAACGGAAAGGCCCUGUUUUUGUGGGGUGCUCGAGUGGCGAAAGCGUGAGUAACACGUGAGUAACCUGCCCUUGACUUUGGGAUAAAUUCAGGGAACAGGGGCUAAUAUCGGAUAGGAGCACCUGCAGCAUGGGGGGGGUUGGAAAGUUUCGGCGGUUGGGGAUGGACUCGAGGCUUAUCAGCUUGUUGGUGGGGUAGUGGCUUACCAAGGCUUUGACGGGUAGCCGGCCUGAGAGGGUGACCGGCCACAUUGGGCCUGAGAUACGGCCCAGACUCCUACGGGGGGCAGCAGUGGGGGAUAUUGCACGAUGGGCGGAAGCCUGAUGCAGCAACGCCGCGUGCGAGAUGACGGCCUUCGGGUUGUAAACCGCGUUCGCCUGUGACGAAGCGUGAGUGACGGUAAUGGGUAAAGAAGCACCGGCUAACUACGUG